AGAACGAACGCUGGCGGCAGGCUUAACACAUGCAAGUCGAACGCCCCGCAAGGGGAGUGGCAGACGGGUGAGUAACGCGUGGGAAUCUACCUGGUUCUACGGAAUAACUGAGGGAAACUUCAGCUAAUACCGUAUACGCCCCAAGGGGGAAAGAUUUAUCGGUGCCAGAUGAGCCCGCGUUGGAUUAGCUAGUUGGUGGGGUAAUGGCCUACCAAGGCGACGAUCCAUAGCUGGUCUGAGAGGAUGAUCAGCCACACUGGGACUGAGACACGGCCCAGACUCCUACGGGAGGCAGCAGUGGGGAAUAUUGGACAAUGGGCGAAAGCCUGAUCCAGCCAUGCCGCGUGAGUGAUGAAGGCCUUAGGGUUGUAAAGCUCUUUCAGUGGGGAAGAUAAUGACGGUACCCACAGAAGAAGCCCCGGCUAACUUCGUGCCAGCAGCCGC
rnacentral:rRNA from 1 species